rnacentral:rRNA from 1 species
UGGGGAAUUUUGGACAAUGGGGGAAACCCUGAUCCAGCCAUCCCGCGUGUGCGAUGAAGGCCUUCGGGUUGUAAAGCACUUUUGUCAGGAAAGAAACGUUAUGGGCUAAUACCCCGUGAAACUGACGGUACCUGCAGAAUAAGCACCGGCUAACUACGUGCCAGCAGCCGCGGUAAUACGUAGGGUGCAAGCGUUAAUCGGAAUUACUGGGCGUAAAGCGUGCGCAGGCGGUUCGGAAAGACAGAUGUGAAAUCCCAGAGCUCAACUUUGGAACUGCAUUUUUAACUGCCGGGCUAGAGUGUGUCAGAGGGGGGGGGAAUUCCGCGUGUAGCAGUGAAAUGCGUAGAUAUGCGGAGGAACACCGAUGGCGAAGGCAGCCUCCUGGGAUAACACUGACGCUCAUGCACGAAAGCGUGGGGAGCAAACAGG